rnacentral:tRNA from 1 species
GCCGGAAUAGCUCAGUUGGGAGAGUGUUAGAAUGAAGUUGUUUACGCAACAGUCAUCUAAAGCCCCCCCCCGGUUCAAUCCCGGGUUCCGGCA